rnacentral:lncRNA from 1 species
UACUUGGGACAUACUGUGAGGAUGUUAUUAGCCAAAUGUCAGAAUUAGCCAAAUGCUUUCACAUCUUCCUGCAAUCUAGUCUUGUGUUUAUGAGAAUCCUUUCUGAAUUCUCUUGACUCACAGUGGACCUUUUUUUCCCUUAGAAAUCAAGUGUAGUUUUCCAACCACUGUAUUAUCUAUUUCAUAGCUGGGGAAACUGCUGAACCUCAGCAAAAUAAAUUGGUGACAGAAGCAAGAACUAAAAAUGAGAUCUCUCUCUGGGCCUCAUAUGCUAUUACAGCAUACAUUGCCUUGAAAACAUUUUUGGUAGCAAUAAAAGUAAAAUGAUUUUGGUGAAAAUGAGUCUAUACUGGAAAAUCAGGUUGAAUUCCCUUUGUUUAUAAGUGUCCUUAGGGAUAUGACCAAGACAAAUUAUUUCCUAUACAGUGAGGAAGGAAACAGAAGUCUAACAUACACUAAUCAAAAUGCUAUCUUCUUAUGUACCAAAUUCCAAUAUUAGAAUAUUAAGACUUUAAUGCCAGUGGCACGACUAUCAUUUUGGUAUUGACUGAUUUGUUUAAUCAACCAAUCUUUAUUUGGUGUCUAUUAUGGGUUACAAACUAUGCGAUAUCCUAAAAAUAACUACAAAUUAAGGGCUUAAUGCUUAGGUAUUUACUUUUUAAAAAAAUGUUAAGUAUUUGCUUUUUUUCUUUUUUAAUAUCUGUGCAGAAGGAGCACUGGGCUGUGACUCAGGAGAUCUGGGUUGUUUUCCGGCGGAUACAUUAUUCCUUUCUCAAGUGCGGACAAUGACGUCUGCCCUUGCUCCCCUGGGAAGGCCCCCUGGCAGGGUGAGAUGGGUGCUGAAACUGAGUGGCAAGAAAGAGCCAGCCAAUUAAGAGCUUUCCAGGGAAUGGGAAGAAACAGUCAAAAGGUUGGUCAGACUAGUGAGCCAGGGGAGCAGAGAAAACACUUGGGAAUGGAGGCGCAGUGUGGAGGAAGAGCUUCCACAGCAAUGUUUAAGAAAGCAAACGAGUAAAGCAGGGACACAGUUUUAUCUUUAAAACCUCGAACACUGCUAGGCACACAGUGUAUGCUGGAUCAGGAUUUGCUGAAUGAAUGACUGAAUGAACUGAAGGGCAUAACCCAGAAUUAAUACAAUGUCACUGAUUUUUUAGAAGAAUCAUACCGUCUGUUGGGCAGAGAAUGGACUGAAGGGAGGUGGACAGGAAGGAAACAAGGGGACUGAGUAGGAGCCGUGCAAGAAUUUGGGCAGGAAAUGACGGCAGGCUGGCCUGGGGCGGUGGUUGCAGACAGGAUGACACUCGAUGCGUCGCAUACGAAGUGAUUAGUGGCAGAAAGGACUCCUGAGGAAUUCUUGGGUUUUGUCUUAAUCUCCUGGAAGAUGGCAGCGCUUCUGACAGAUGUAGCCAGUAUUGGGCUUGGGUGAGGUACCAAGCAGGGAGGGUUUAGGACUGACCCUGGAGGGCUGUGACUUUAAAAGGUGAGUGUAGAAGAGCCAGCCAGGGGAGUGUGCUGUGGAGGAGCCAGGAAUGGAGACGGUCUGAAGUUGAAGGUAGGCGUCAACCAUGACACACUCUGCAAGUGGUCAAGGUGAAAAGGAGGUGACCAGAUCUGGCAAUGUGGAGGUGACCGGUCACUGUGAGGACAGCAGGCCUGGUGGAGCGGUGGGGAUGCGAUCCCAACUGCAGGAGGCCAAGCAGAGGGUGGAAGGUGGCAAGCUGGAAAGAAUAACUCUAAAAAAUUCUUUGAAGGAGCUCUGCUAUGUAUGGGAAUAGAGCAAUUGGACUGUAGCUAAAUGGGAUGUGGGAUCAAGAGGGUGAUUGUUUCGGUGUGUUUUGUUUUUAAAGAUGAGGAAAUCAUGAAAUGCUUGCUAGGUGACCUAGUCGGAGAGUGGGGAGGAGGAACGGCUAGUACAGGAGAGAGAGGUAAGAAUUAACAGGAACAACAACCUAGUAAAGGUGAGGGGGUUAGACUCAGGGGAGAGGUGGCUCCUCAGCUGGGCAAAGAAAUUUAACCCACCAAGUCCGGAUGGAAGGCUGCCAAUGUGGGCACAGGCACAGGUGGGCUGGCACUUGGUGCAAAGGUGAGAGGGUUCUGGUUUCUUCUGUUUUCAACAGAGUGUGAAGCAAGGGUGUUGCAUGAGUAAGGGGAGGGAAGGAGUGUUGGGGGUUUAGAAAUAGAAAGCAUGGAAUCAUCAUUUACAGAGUGGGAGAAUAAAAUUGUAGGAAAUAUAGGAUUACUGGGCUGGGUUGAGAGUCCAUUUCAUAUGGUUGCGAGACUUUUGGUGGCAUGACACGUAGUCCCAUAUAUGGUGGGGGACAAGGUCAGUGUCAUAAGCUUGAGAGAGGAGGCAAAGGAAGAAGGAGAUGGUUCUCUCUUUAAGGAGCAGGCAGCCUGCCAAUGAGAUGUUGUCGUGCUCCACAGCCAGGUGCAGUGCUGUGCGCCCGGACUUCUGCUCCUGAGCAUUGACGUCAGCCCCAGCGGCCACCAGCAGCAGCAAACAUGGCAGGCUAUUGCUCAUCAUGGCUAGAUGAAUGGCAUUCAGACCUAGAGUCCAAGCAAAGGGACAGUCACAGGAUGGGAUGGCUAACUCACAAGAUGGCCCUUGUGAAGCUGAAGGAAAUGGCAAAAACUGAAUCAUGGGGAGGGACAGUAAAGAUACUAUAAGUCUAUUGUUCUGCUUUGAAGACCCACAGUCUCCUAUUAUGUUCUCAGGAGACAUGAACAUAAAUAAACAUUCUCUGAAUAAACGACGCUUUGUGUACUUCAAGAUGAAUCUUUACUCAGGCCUCUGCUUUCUCCUCCUACUAACUAUUCCAAAUCAUCUUUAAAAAAAUUAGCUUUGGUGAGCAACAGAAAUGCCCAAAAGAGAUGAUGAACUCCAGGUGACUAAGGAAAGCACUUUUGGGUGCAAAUCAAAUAACACACGUUUAUCAAAUACCUAGUAGAUAUUUAGAAGGUGGAGAAAGUUACACCAAUGAUGUGUGAUUGUCUCUUA